ensembl:lncRNA
AUUGGGGUUUCCAUUUUGGGGUCAUGGAAUUGGGGUCUCCAUUUGGGGUCAUGGAUUUGGGGUCUCCAUUUGUGAUCACAGGAUGGGUUGGGGGUCUCCAUUUGGGGUCAGAGAAUUGGGGUCUCCAUUUGGGGUCAUGGAUUUGGGGGUCUCCAUUUGGGGUCAUAGCAUUGGGGUCUCCAUUUGGGAUCAUAGAAUUGGGUCUCCAUUUGGGAUCACGGGAGGGGUUUGGGGUCUCCAUUUUGGGGUCUCCAUUUUGGGGUCAUGGAAUUGGGGUCUCCAUUUGGGGUCAUGGAAUUGGG